AACAAAACAAUGACAGUGACGUCGUAAAACUUUGUCUGACAAAUAGAAAAACAUUCGAAAAAUAAAUUAAUCAAUAGGUUGUUGAUAGUCAAUAGUCACUGUCAGUGUUAAUGUCAUCGGAUAUUUACUACCAAAUACUAACUGCCACUUGAAUUAAUUUUGAAUUAUGAGUUUUGACUUUCUUUACACUUUACAGGUUAAUGUUAUUUUUGUACAUAAAGGAAUUUCUGUAAUAAAUUAAAUAAAAUUAAAUAAUGUAAAGAACUAUGGCUUCAUCUUGCGACAAGUUGCUUCAUCCAGAAUUAAUGAGCAAUGAAGAACUUCUAUUAAUUAUCGAAGAGGAUACUGAAGUAUCAGAUUGCACGCCACCAAAAAAGGACAGGAAACUAAUAACUUGGCCAUAAGUUUUGUAUAUUCAAAUCUGGACUGAUCUCUAUGCAUUUUAAGUGUACACAAAUUAGAUUUAAGCUUUUGUUAAAUGAUAUGUUGUUCAUAUUAUUUCAGUAAUUCAUCUUAAGCAGGUGUAUGCACUCAUAGUCUUAACUUAAAAAAAAUAUUUAGCCCUGCUCAGCAGACCAUGUUUCUGUUAAUAAGUUUGUGAUAUAAUGCUUAAUAAAUUGUUAUAUUAAAUAAUGAG